rnacentral:rRNA from 1 species
CAGUCGCCACGGUAAUACAGAGGCCUCAAGCGUUGCUCGGAUUCAUUGGGCGUAAAGGGUGCGUAGGUGGCUUGGUAAGUUGAAGGUGAAAUCUCGGGGCUUAACCCCGAAACUGCCUUCAAUACUGCUAGGCUCGAGGACUGUAGAGGAGAAUGGAAUUCACGGUGUAGCAGUGAAAUGCGUAGAUAUCGUGAGGAAGACCAGUGGCGAAGGCGAUUCUCUGGGCAGUUCCUGACACUGAGGCACGAAGGCCAGGGGAGCAAACGGGAUUAGAGACCCCGGUAGUCCCUGUCUCUUAUAC